GACAUGAUGGCUGAGUGUCUAAGCGGUGGAUUGUAGCCCCAUAGACAGAGGUUCAAAUCCUCUUCGUGUCA
rnacentral:tRNA from 1 species